rnacentral:rRNA from 1 species
UACGUAGGGCGCGAGCGUUGUCCGGAAUUAUUGGGCGUAAAGAGCUCGUAGGCGGCCUGUUGCGUCCGCUGUGAAAUCCCGGGGCUCAACCCUGGGCGUGCAGUGGAUACGGGCAGGCUGGAGGCAGGCAGGGGAGAACGGAAUUCCCGGUGUAGCGGUGAAAUGCGCAGAUAUCGGGAGGAACACCGGUGGCGAAGGCGGUUCUCUGGACAGUUCCUGACGCUGAGGCACGAAGGUCAGGGGAGCAAACGGG